rnacentral:lncRNA from 14 species
AUGCCUGGAGGGGCUGGGGCCGCGGCCGUGGCCGCACACAAUCGGAGGAAACCCGCCGGCUUCGAGCAUUGUUUGCCUGCAGACGCUCGCUUCCUCCGUCCUGCCACGGGGACACGGCUCUCGUCAGCACAAAGGGGCUGGGGGGUGCCAGGGCGGCCUCCCGGGUCUCUGCUGAGCUGCAGCCCCGGGCAGGCCCUGCCUGAUGGACUCGUGUCCCCGCAGGAAUGCCACCACGCCGAGUGCCGGCAGCUGAGCCGCAGCGGCCCCCUCAGCCUGUGUGAGCUCUGCGAUGGCCGCCUCCAUGGCGCCAUGCACUUCGAUGGCCACAUCUGCUUCGACCUGUCCCCGCAAGGCUCCAUCCUGGCCCGCAACAUGUCCACGCGUUCGUGCCCCCCGCGCACCAGCCCUGCCUCUGAUGUGGAGGAGGAGGAGGAGGGUCCGCGCAAGAGCUCAGCACUGAAGCUGCCCAAGAAGAAGGCUUGGCGCAGGCACACGGACGACCCCAGCAAGGAGUGCUUCACCUUGAAGUUUGACCUCAGCAUCGACAUCGAGGCAGAGAUCGUGCCAGCUGUGAAGAAGAAGUCACUGGGGGAAGUGCUGCUGCCAGUCUUUGAGAGGAAGGCGAUUGAGCUGGGCAAGGUGGACAUCUACCUGGACCAGUCGCACACGCCGCUGUCGCUGCAGUUCGAGGCAUUUCGCUUCGGGGGACACUACCUGAGGGUGAAAGCCAAGCCCGGGGAUGAGCUGAAGGUGGAGCAGGCAGUGCGAGAUGCCAGGUCAGCCAGCCUGCCCAUCCUGCACCCUGCCAGCAGUGCUGCAUUCCUUGGGCCGGUGCUGGAGCCGCAGCACCCGGGGUCCUGCACCCCCGGGGCCCUGCCGGGACGGCGAAGGAAGAACAUAACAGAGUUCCUGGGGGACAGCAGCAUCCCCAGUCCCGAGCCAGCCCUGCACAGCAGCAGCUCUCUGCCCACCAAUGGCACUGACACCUGGAAGAACCGCGCUGCCAGUCGCUUCAGCGGCUUCUUUGGCUCCGGGACUAGCACGGGCUCCUUCGGGCGGGAGACUGAGAAGCUGGAGCAGCUGGUGAACAGGCUGCACGCCUACAGCACCUUCGGGCUGCCCAAGCUGCCGCCCCAGCUCCGCUUUGACCGCGACUCCUGGGAGGAGGAUGGGGACGAGGCUGGGCUGGCACUGGAGGACAGCUGGCAGCAGAUCAUCCAGGGCACAGAGGUCCUGUCGCGUCGGCAGUGCCACCAGCAGGAAGCCAUCUGGGAGCUGCUGCACACAGAGGCCACCUACAUCCGGAACCUCAAAGUCAUCACUGAUCUCUUUCUCUCCUGCCUGGUGAACCUGCAGGAGUCAGGGCUGCUCUGUGAGGUGGAUGCCGAGCGGCUCUUCAGCAACAUCGGGGAGAUCAUCCGGCUGCACUGCAAGCUGUGGCGCAGCGUCAUGGCCCCAGUGCUGGCCAAGGCACGGCGGACAGGGGCACUGCUUGACCCCAUUGACUUCCUCGAUGGCUUCAAGAUGUUCGGGUCCCUCUUCAAGCCCUACGUGCGGUAUUGCAUGGAGGAGGAGGGCUGCAUGGAGUACAUGCGGACCCUGCUGCGGGACAGCGAGCUCUUCCGCACCUACGUGACGUGGGCCGAGAAGCAGGAGCAGUGCAGCCGCCUGAAGCUGAGCGACAUGCUGGUGAAACCUCACCAGCGCCUCACCAAGUACCCGCUGCUCCUCAAGUCCAUCCUGAAGAAGACGGAUGACCCACGUGCCCGUGAUGCCAUCACCACUAUGAUCAGCUCUGUGGAGCGCUUCAUCAACGACGUCAACUCGCGGAUGCGCCAGCGGCAGGAGCGGCAGCGCCUGGAUGCCAUCCUCAGCCGGAUUGAUGCCUACGAGGUGGUGGAGGGCAGCACAGAUGAGGUGGACAAGCUGCUUAAGGAGUUCCUGAGGCUGGACCUGACGGCCCCCAUCCCUGGCACCUCCCCGGAGGACACCCGGCAGCUCCUCCUUGAGGGCAGCCUGAGGAUGCGGGAAGGUAAAGACAGCAAGAUGGACGUCUACUGCUUCCUCUUCACCGACCUCUUCCUCAUCACCAAGCCCUUCAAGAAGGCUGAGCGCACCAAGGUGAUCCGGCAGCCCUUGCUGGUGGACAGAGUUGUUUGCCGGGAGCUCAGAGACCCAGGCUCCUUCCUCCUCAUCUACCUGAAUGAGCUGGGCAGUGCUGUGGCCGCCUACACCUUCCAGAGCAGUGGGCAGCUGUGCCGCAGCUGGGUCGAGGCCGUGCGCAAUGCCCAGAACCUGCUGCAGAGGCUGCGGCAGCGCCGGCGCAUGGAGGAGAAGGAGGAGGAGGACGAGGAGGAUGAGGAGGACGAUGGUGAGAGUGGCACUUCAGCUGCCAGUUCACCUACCAUCCUACACCACAGCAGCGCCAGCCCAGACUCACAGCAGUGCCCCUCCGACGGCUCCACCGAGACGCUUGCCAUGGCAGCAGCAGAGGGUGGCGACGAGCUCUCCUCCCCAGACUGGGACUCAGGACCCUUCAGCUCAACCUCGGAUGGCUCCUCUGUUAGCACCAGCACCUCCAUCGGUGCCCUGCCUGUUCCCCUGCCCCACGGCGUGGCCUCCCCAGGCAGCGGCUGCCGCUCGUCCUCCAUCGACAGCGCCUAUGGCACGCUCUCACCUGCCUCCCUGCGGGACUUUGGCCAGCAGCCCGAGGGGACGGCCGAGGAGGGGCAGGAGCCCUGCCUGGCCCCUCCCGCCCCACGGCCGGCCUCGCCCCGGCUGCGCCGCCGGACGCCCGUGCAGCUCCUGCCUUGCCCGGCCAGGGUGCUCAAAUCCAAGUCGGAGGCCAGCUUGCCCCAGCUCCUGUCCCCCACUUCCCCAGGCCCCCUAAGCCAAAGCCGCAGCCUCUCUGACCUCUGUGCUGGUUCCCCCCGGACUAGCCAAGAGCCCGCACCUCAGGCUGCCCCCGGCAGCAGCGGCAGCUCCACAUCAGAGCUCUCAGAGCCCGAGGAGCCAGCGGAGAGCCCAGCAUCCCUGCCAGGGGGGCUCAGGCGCGACCCCCAGCCCCCUGCCCGCCGGACCCUCUCGGACCCGCAGGCGGCGCAGCACCGCAAGCUGACUCUGGCGCAGCUGUACCGGAUCCGGACCACGCUGCUGCUCAACUCCACGCUGACGGCCUCGUAA